rnacentral:rRNA from 1 species
AACGAACGCUGGCGGCAGGCCUAACACAUGCAAGUCGAACGGGACCUUCGGGGUAAGUGGCGGACGGGUGAGUAACGCGUGGGAACGUGCACGUAUCUACGGAAUAGUACUGGGAAACGGGGGGUAAUACCGGAUAAUGUCUUCGGGGAAAAGAUUUAACGGGGGGGGGUGAGCCCGGGUUGGACUAGCUUGUUGGUAGGGUAAUGGCCUACCAAGGCGACGAUCCAUAGCUGGUAUGAGAGGAUGAUCCGCCACACUGGGACUGAGACACGGCCCAGACUCCUACGGGAGGCAGCAGUGGGGAAUAUUGGACAAUGGGGGCGACCCUGAUCCAGCCAUGCCGCGUGAGUGAUGAAGGCCUUAGGGUUGUAAAGCUCUUUCAGCCGGGAAGAUAAUGACGGUACCAGGAGAAUAAGCACCGGCUAACUCCGUG